rnacentral:pre_miRNA from 1 species
AGGAGGAACAGCCCCAGUGGCGGGGCCAGCUCUGGAAACCUGGAUUCAGCCCCGGCAGGAACUCCGGAGCUCUCCGUCUGCAGGGCCUGGAGGCUCCGGGGCGGGGCCGCUGAUCUGCUCAGCUCGGGGCAGGAGCGUCCUC